CGAAUUUCGCCCUUAACAAGGUUUCCGUAGGUGAACCUGCGGAAGGAUCAUUG
rnacentral:rRNA from 1 species